rfam:Gossypium arboreum cultivar AKA8401 contig_47618_1, whole genome shotgun sequence.
UCUAGGGGAGCGCUUUGUCCACGUCAGCAAAAAAUGUGUCCUUGAGGGCACGUUUUGCUGACGUGGACAAAACGUUCCCCCAGGG